rnacentral:rRNA from 1 species
AUUGAACGCUAGCGGGAUGCCUUACACAUGCAAGUCGAACGGAGUGGCGAACGGGUGAGUAAUGUAUCGGAACGUGCCCAGUAGCGGGGGAUAACUACCCGAAAGCGUAGCUAAUACCGCAUACUAUUGGAGCGGCCGAGGUCGGAUUAGCUAGUUGGUGGGGUAAAGGCUCACCAAGGCGACGAUCCGUAACUGGUUUGAGAGGAAGACCAGUCACACUGGGACUGAGACACGGCCCAGACUCCUACGGGAGGCAGCAGUGGGGAAUAUUGGACAAUGGGCGAAACCCUGAUCCAGCCAUCCCGCGUGUGUGAAGAAGGCCUUCGGGUUGUAAAGCACUUUUGGCAGGAAAGCGGUACCUACAGAAUAAGCACCGGCUAACUACGUGCCAGCAGCCGCGGUAAUUC